CGAGGGGCAGCAUGAAGCUUGCUUGCAAGCUUUGAUGGCGACCGGCGAAUGGGUGAGUCACGCGUGUCCAACCUGCCCCUGUCCCGGGGAUAGCCCUUGGAAAUGAGGAUUAAUACCCGAUAUGUGCCUUUGCCGCAUGGCGUUGGCAUGAAACCAGGACAGGGAUGGGGACGCGUCGGAUUAGCUGGACGCGGGGCAACGGCCCACCGUGGCGACGAUCCGCAGGGGUUCUGAGAGGAAGGUCCCCCACACUGGCACUGAGACACGGGCCAGACUCCUACGGGAGGCAGCAGUGAGGAAUAUUGGUCAAUGGGCGAGAGCCUGAACCAGCCAAGUAGCGUGCAGGAUGACGUCCCUACGGGUUGUAAACUGCUUUUGCGGGAGGAUAACCGGCGCCACGUGUGGCGCCCUGCAGGUAUCCCGUGAAUAAGGACCGGCUAAUUCCGUGCC
rnacentral:rRNA from 1 species